CAUCAGAGAAAAUAAAGAGCUUCAUCCACAACUCCCACAAAAUACUCCAAGCAGUCAUUGAUGUUAAAGGGGACAAUACACGGUAUUAAGAACAGGGGUAUAUAAACUUUUCAGGGUCAUUUGGAUCAUUUCUGUUGCU